ensembl:lncRNA novel transcript
CCCUGCUGGUUUUAACUCACAGUAGGUUGGGGGCUGUGAGCCAAGGAAUGUAAAGAGCGGGAUCGUGAUGUGAAAUGGUGCCUGGUCUGCUGGGGACAGCACAGGAACGAAAACGUGGAAACGUGGAAACGCGGGUCUCCGGCCGUCCAGCUUUCGCGGGCCCCGUGUUCUUCCCUUCA